rnacentral:siRNA from 1 species
UAGGUCAUAUGGGAUUGCCCACCU